UGACAAGAAAAUUUAAGGGCGUAUGGUGGAUGCCUUGACUCUAAAAGGCGAUGAAGGACGUGGCAUGUCUGCGAUAAGCUUCGGUGAGGUGACUAGCAACCUUUGACCCGGAGAUCUCCGAAUGGGGAAACCUUAUCUGAUAGAUUCAGAUAGUCAAAUUUCUAUAAAGGGAAUUUGAAGCACACCUGGGGAAGUGAAACAUCUCAGUACCCAGAGGAAAAGAGACCAAUAGGAAUUUCCUUAGUAGCGGCGAGCGAAAUGGAAAGAGCCCAAACCUUGUAGCAUUUAUGUUAUAGGGGGUUGUAGGAUAAUAAAGUUUAUUCUUCGGAAUAGGAGAAGUUACAAAGUAUGAUAUUAGUUGAAUUAGCUGGGAAGCUAAACUCAAAAGGGUAAUAGUCCCGUAAGCGAAAAUAUCACACCUUCUUAUUUAUUACUCCUGAGUAGCUCAAGACACGAAUAGCUUGGGUGAAUCUGCCAGUACUAACUGGUAAGGCUAAAUACUUUUAGAGAUCGAUAGUGAACAAGUACCGUGAGGGAAAGGUGAAAAGAACCCCGGAGAGGGGAGUGAAAUAGAACUGAAACCAUAUGCUUACAAGGAGUUAGAGCGGUCGCUUGCGACCGUGAUAGCGUUCCUAUUGAAGAAUGAGCCAACGAGUCAAAGUGUGCAGCUGCCUAAAAGGAAAAACCUUGAAGGCCCAGCGAAAGCGAGUGUUAAUAGCGCGAAAUUAUAGUUGUAUGCUUUGGACCCGAAGCCAAGUGAUCUUGCCAUGAGCAGGGUGAAGGUGAUGGAAACAUCACUGGAGGCCCGAACCGGUUGGUCGUACGACUCCAUCGGAUGACUUGUGGUAAGCAGUGAAAAGCUAAUCGAACUUGGUAAUAGCUGGUUCUCUCCGAAAUAGCUUUAGGGUUAGCGUCUGAUGUUCCUGCUGGGGGUAGAGCACUGGAAGGAUCGAACAGGGGGAAACCUCGUCGAUCCUAUCAAACUCCGAAUACCAGUAGUCAAGAAUCAGGCAGUUAGACUGUGGGGGCUAAGCUCCAUUGGUCAAAAGGGAAACAGCCCAGACCUACAUUUAAGGUCCCUAAAUUCAUACUAAGUGCACUUAAGGAGGUGAAAUUUCUCAGACAAUGAGGAGGUUGGCUUAGAAGCAGCCAUCCUUUAAAGAUAGCGUAACAGCUCACUCAUUAAGAGAUUUUGCACCGCAGAUUAUCGGGGCUAAGUAUGGUACCGAAAAUUAGGAUUCGUAAAUUUCAUAGAGGAAAAAGUACAUUAGAUUUUUUGCUGAGUGAUCGUUCAGUGGCUAAAGUUGAGCCUAUGGUAGGACGAGAGAUCCGAAUCUCUUACGAGAGUUCGAACCUCUCUCACUCAGCCAAAAUAUAAAUUUUUUGAGGUUCCUGUUUUGGUCUUGUGUAAAGGCCCCCAGAGAGAAUCUGGUGAGUACAGUGAAAGUCUGUCAGGAACCGUCAAUUUGUUUUGAGGGGGAUUAACUCCAAUUGGUAGAGUCUUUGGCCUAACACGCCAUUGUGUUCCGAGUUCGAUUCUCGGAUCCCCCGAAAAAUAAGAGUUUGUUUUGAGUACUGGGGUAUAGCUCAGUUGGUAGAGCUGCUGACUUGUAAUCAGAAUGUCACGGGUUCGACUCCCGUUACCCCAGCCAAAACAAAUUAUGUUAAAUCAAUCUCUAAUACAGAGAUUGGUUGGACAAAUCUUCAAUUCGAAGAUUUGUCUCUUCUAUGAAAUUUACGAAUGGUAGGAGAGUAUUCUAUUCUGCGAUGAAGCCGAAGGCGUGAGCCACGGUGGAGCGUAUAGAAGCAAGAAUGUUGGCACGAGUAACCGCAAUACAGGUGAGAUCCCUGUACGCCGAAAGACUAAGGGUUCCUUCGCAAUGUUGAUCAGCGAAGGGUUAGUCGGUCCUAAGGAGAUGGUGAGAACCGCAUCCGAUGGACACAUGGUUAAUAUUCCAUGACUUCUUUAUUUUGCGAUGGGAGGACGGAGGAAACAAGCAAUAGCGCAUUAUCGGAUUUGCGUUGUUUAUUUCAAAGAGUGUAUCCUAGGAAAAUCCGGGAUAUGCCCAGCACUAUUUUUCUGAUAGAAAUUAUCUAUUUCGGAAAAAUAGUGCUGGGAAACUCUGGAGAUCGACAAAAUUCCUUUCUACGGAUUGGGAAAUUGUUGUGAAGAGCCUUCCAAGAAAAUUCUCUAAGCAUAAAAAUAAAGGAACCGUACCCUAAACCGACACAGGUAGUCAGGUCGAGAAGACCAAGGCGAACGAGUGAUUUUUCUCCAAGGAACUCGGCAAAAAAGCGAUCGUAACUUCGGAAUAAGAUCUGCCAUAACAUAGUUUACUAUGGGUUGGCCGCAGCGAAAGUAGCCCUGCCGACUGUUUAUCAAAAACACAGCUCUCUGCGAACACGUAAGUGGAUGUAUAGAGGGUGACGCCUGACCAAUGCCAGAAGGUUAAAUAUGGGGGGUAUGUUGAUUUAUCGACAUGCUGGACUAUAUAAGCCCUGGUGAAUGUCGGCCGUAACUAUAACGGUCCUAAGGUUGUGGAACUCAAAUUUAUUUGGGUUGCACAAAGACUAGGACGGUUAUAGCAAAUGAGCGUUCGUGCUCUAAAAAAAUAAAAGGAAUAAAGUUGCCUAUUUUAUAAAAUUAAUUUUAUAAUUUGUCUUUAAAUAUCUAGCCAUAUGCUGGAAAAUCCGUGUAUCUGACAAUACUCAUCAUGAUUUUAUUAUUGUGAUAGUGAAAAUUUGAUUAGUGCGGAUAAUCAGCAGGAAAUCCAUUUUUAAUGGAGAUCCUCAGAGACUAAACGCUAGAAUAAGUUUUUAACUUAUAAAUUAUAGUCCGAACUGCAUAGCGAUAUGCAGAGUCAAACAGAAAUGAUUUGUCCACUUUGAUUUUUCAAAGGAGUAACAAAAUGAGCGAAAUUCCUUGUCUGGUAAGUUCAGACGUGCACGAAUGGCGUAACGAGCGGGGCACUGUCUCGGAGAAUAGCUCGGUGAAAAUGCAAUACCGGUGAAGACGCCGGUUACCUGCAGCUAGACGAAAAGACCCCAGGAGCUUUACUAUAGCUUGGUAUUGGGUGUAUGUUUUGACUGCGUAGCAUAGGUGGGAGGCUUUGAAGGGAUCCUUUUGGGGAUCCUGGAGCCGUCAGUGAAAUACCACUCUUUUAAUGUAUACAUUCUAAUCUCUACGGCAAAAACGGAGAGAGACAGUGCCUGGCAGGUAGUUUUAGUGGGGCGCUAUCCUCCUAAAAAGUAACGGAGGAGUUUAAAGGUUGGCUAAGCGCGAAUGGAAACCGUGCUGAUAGUGUAAUGGCACAAGCCAGCUUAACUGCAAGACGUACGUGUCGAGCAGGUACGAAAGUAGAACAUAGUGAACCGAGGGCCCGAAUUAGACACGGCCCAAGAUUAUCGGAUAAAAGUUACCCUGGGGAUAACAGGCUAAUAACGCCUAAGCGUCCAUAGCGACGGCGUUGUUUGGCACCUCGAUGUCGGCUCAACUUAUCCUGGAGGUGGAGAAGCUUCCAAGGGUUUGGCUGUUCGCCAAUUAAAAAGUUACGCGAGCUGGGUUUAGACCGUUUAGAGAUUAAAUUAUUUUAAUUUUUAAACAAUCUAAACUCUGAACAUUGAAUUAUCGGAGAUAUUAAAAUAUCUCAUUAGGUCUUUUCGUUGACAAUAUAUAUAAACUUUGAAAACAACAUUCAAAGGUUGAGAUAGAACAAGAAACCAAUCUUACACGGCGGUCUUAAGCAUUCAUUUUAAGUGUUUAAAGAAAAAGCCAACUUAUAUCGGUGAAACCUUACUAAUUUUUUAGAAGGUAAUACCGAGGGAACAAAAAAUUUAUUUUUUGACCCGUAGAGACUAUACGUUGGACUUUGACCAUUGCGUUAAAGAAGAUUUAGUCCAUGCAAUUAGAAAUAAUUGAGUAUCAUGCGUGAGACAGGUUGGUCUCCUAUCUGCUGCAGGCGUCGAUUUUUGAGAAGAUUUGCUCCUAGUACGAGAGGACCGGAGUGAACUAACCCCUGGUGUAUCAGCUGUUCUGCCAAGAGCAUUGCUGAGUAGCUAUGUUGGGAAUGGAUAACCUCUGAAAGCAUCUAAGAGGGAAGCCAACUUCAAGAUUAGAAAUCAUUUGAGACCCCUGAGAGAUGAUCAGGUGAUAGGCUUUAGGUGUACGUGCAGUAAUGCACUUAGCCAAGAAGUACUAAUACGUCGAUUUCUUGUCAGA
rnacentral:sRNA from 1 species